rnacentral:rRNA from 1 species
UACGGGGGGGGCAAGCGUUGUUCGGAAUUACUGGGCGUAAAGGGUUCGUAGGUGGCCAACUAAGUCAGACGUGAAAUCCCUCAGCUUAACUGGGGAACUGCGUCUGAGACUGGAUGGCUUGAGUGCAGGAGAGGAACGCGGAAUUCCAGGUGUAGUGGUGAAAUACGUAGAUAUCUGGAGGAACACCGGUGGCGAAGGCGGCUACCUGGCCCAACAUUGACGCUGAGACCCGAAAGCGUGGGGAUCAAACAGG